rnacentral:rRNA from 1 species
UACGUAGGGUGCAAGCGUUAAUCGGAAUUACUGGGCGUAAAGCGUGCGCAGGCGGUUUUGUAAGUCUGUCGUGAAAUCCCCGGGCUCAACCUGGGAAUGGCGAUGGAGACUGCAAGGCUAGAGUUUGGCAGAGGGGGGUAGAAUUCCACGUGUAGCAGUGAAAUGCGUAGAUAUGGUGGAGGAACACCAGGAUGGCCGGAAGGACAGCCCCCUGGGUCAAAACCUGACGCUACAUGGCAACGAAAGCGUACGGGGAGCAAACACGG